rnacentral:rRNA from 1 species
UACGUAGGGGCUAGCGUUGUCCGGAAUCAUUGGGCGUAAAGCGCGUGUAGGCGGUCCGGUAAGUCCGCUGUAAAAGUCCAGGGCUCAACCCUGGAACGCCGGUGGAUACUGUCGGGCUAGAGUGCGGCAGAGGAGACUGGAAUUCCUGGUGUAGCAGUGAAAUGCGUAGAUAUCAGGAGGAACACCGAUGGCGAAGGCAGGUCUCUGGGCUGACACUGACGCUCAUGCACGAAAGCGUGGGGAGCAAACAGG